CUACACAUGCAGUCGAACGAACUCUUCGGAGUUAGUGGCAGACGGGUGAGUAACGCGUGGGAAUAUACCUUUCGGUACGGAACAACAGUUGGAAACGACUGCUAAUACCGUAUGCGCCCUAUGGGGGAAAGAUUUAUCGCCGAAGGAUUAGCCCGCGUUGGAUUAGCUAGUUGGUGGGGUAAAGGCCUACCAAGGCGACGAUCCAUAGCUGGUCUGAGAGGAUGAUCAGCCACACUGGGACUGAGACACGGCCCAGACUCCUACGGGAGGCAGCAGUGGGGAAUAUUGGACAAUGGGGGCAACCCUGAUCCAGCCAUGCCGCGUGAGUGAUGAAGGCCCUAGGGUUGUAAAGCUCUUUCAGCGAGGAGGAUAAUGACGUUACUCGCAGAAGAAGCCCCGGCUAACUUCGUGCCAGCAGCCGCGGUAAUACGAAGGGGGCUAGCGUUGUUCGGAAUCACUGGGCGUAAAGCGCACGUAGGCGGAUUGGUCAGUUAGGGGUGAAAUCCCAGAGCUCAACUCUGGAACUGCCUUUAAUACUGCCAGUCUUGAGUCCGAGAGAGGUGAGUGGAACUCCGAGUGUAGAGGUGAAAUUCGUAGAUAUUCGGAAGAA
rnacentral:rRNA from 1 species